rnacentral:lncRNA from 1 species
CUCACUUACAUCAAUUCAGUAAAAAUGAUGUUUUAUUAGUUUUGCUAUUUUAAGGUCCAAAAUCAAGUGUGUCAUUUAGUUUAUGGUCAGCUGAUAACUUAUCAAUUUUCAGUGAAUCUUUACAAGUUCAAGUUCUGUUCAUGAGACUUACACAGAUCUCCUAGUUCUUGGCUUAAUUAUGAAACAGAAGAACUUCCCUUAGGUUAAAUAUUCAACGGGUUUUAGUGCUAUGACUUAACAAUUUAACUUGAUAUUGAUCAUCAGUUUUAACAUUUGUAAGUGUUAAAACCCUUUGACAUAAAAAGAUAUCUAUAUUAUUUGCUUUAAAUUCUAGUGUUCGCUUUGUCUCAAAAAAUUUUCAGCACCUCUAAUUAGGAGACUGUCACAAUGGAUUAUGUGAAAAAGCACAUGAGAGUUGUAAAGCCCUGACCGUGUUUGACACAAAUGUUAUGCGUCACCAGCAUGACCAGAGAGUCAUCAAAUCGAUCGAUAAUUGCUGACAAGGUUCACUGCAAGGACCAAGGAAGGUGGUUGAAGAUGAAUGGUGGUGAGUUGCUGGUCAUUUGCUGGCAAAAGUCAGCUUACAGAAUUUAGUCUAAUAGAUGCUGAAAGCAAAAGGUAAUUCAACAGGAGAUUGACUUUUAAGAUGAACUGCUUAGAACCCCCAAAUAAGCAGGGAAGCAGACCUGCCUGAUUGAAUCCCUUUUAAAGGAUGUUAUCUAGAUAGAAAUGUAUUAAAGUGGACAAAAAAAAAAAGAAAAAGAUAUACAAGUCCAGGUGAGAAUGCAUCUUUACCAGGAUGUGAAAACUUCAGAGAUAAUGUCAGAGAGAACAGGAAGUUUGCCUUUUUCUCUGUUGUUUACCCUCCUCCUGCUCUGAGCCUUCAGGCUCCUGAAUUCAAAUGCUAAACAUAAUAUUAAUAAUUACUGAUUCCCAAGACUUGAAGGAACACUAUGGGGGAAACAGACUUAACAUGGCUUUUUCAGCCUAUCCUAACUCCCUGCUAAAAUACCUAAGAUGAUACAGAAAAUGACCAAAGACAGAAGUUAUUGUAUUUCCAAAAACUAAGGCUGGAAGCCUAUCAUAAGAAUCUACUGGGGAUUUCUAUCAGGCCUAACUAUGGAGCUGAAUUCUAAGAAAUUAAAAAACCUACUCAUAUUUCAUCUGUUGCAAGAGAACAUCUCAGCCACCUAAAAAUAUAAAGAAGAUAUAAUAGGAGUCCUUAGAAGUCCUCUUUGUUCCUUUUCCAAUCUCUUCACUCUGACUUAGAGAUACAGAGGCUAUAAUCCUGCUACUGUAUGGCAUUUAGAGGCAGCCAGAAUCCAUCAGCUGUUCCCUCAGCAUCAUCUGAAACCCAUUUGGAGACUAAUUCUAAGAGAAAAAUAGGUAAGGACCCUAAAAGUUAACAGGUACAGAAAAUAUUCUAGCCAUUGUUCUUGGCAUUGUAGAUUUCCAAGUACUCUGUCACAAAAAGUUCUCAUAAAAGGUUCACAGAAGAGUAGCUCCGUGAAAUGGUUUUCCUUGAAGGAGCUUUUGUGAAUAAAGAAUUUGAGGCAAGAAUGCA